UAAAAAAAAAAAAAAUGAUACAACCAAACAGAAAAUGAGCUCUCACCAUCUUUUGCAUGUCCAAGAUGCAGAUCGAAAUGGUUACAAGAUGAGAUUUGUUUGCGAAACAGAAAUGAUAAAGCCCUUUCUCGUGCACAACAAACUCAAACGUUUCACUGGUUUUGUCAUGAAAAUCAUGAAGGUUUCACCACAAGGUCCCUAUAUCAUGAGAUCAACCCUUGGUCGGAAUCGGCCUCUGUGACGACGAGAGAGAUGUGAAGAGUAUCCCCUCCCUUCUUUACUUCAUGAGAAACACACUAUCACAAAUCUAAUCCCGCAAAGCCUUUCUAUCCUCUAUAGCACCGCCAUUAUUGCCACAGCAACAUAUCUCAAUACCCACUUCUCUAUCUCCUACACAACCAUCUCUCUUUUGUCUAUAUAUCUGA
rnacentral:misc_RNA from 1 species